AUGAAGAUGGUCACUCCGAGCUUUCUCCUGUGGGGGCUUCUGCUUUAUAUUCAGGGAUCCUGUGGACAGAUUGUGAUGACUCAGACUCCAGACUCUGUCUCUGUGUCACCAGGAGAACGCGUCACCAUGACAUGUAAAGCCAGUUCUGGUAUUAGCAGCUACCUAAACUGGUACCAACAGAAACCAGGACAACCCCCAAAGCUCCUGAUCUAUUCUGCCAGCAGCAGAUACACCGGGACCCCGGAGCGGUUCAGCGGCAGCGGGUCGGGAACUGAUUUCACUUUAACCAUCAGCGGAGCGCAAGCAGAAGAUGCAGCAGAUUAUUACUGUCAGCAGUAUCAGAGCUACCGGAGUUUUGGUGGAGGAACCAAAGUAGAAAUCAAAAGAAGAGACACUGCCAAGCCAUCCGUGUUUAUAUUCUGUCCCGCAGUGGAAGAGAUUAAGACAGGGCAAGCAAGUGUUGUCUGUAUGAUCAAUAACUACUACCCUAGGUCAGCGGAAGUCACAUGGAAAGUGGACAACCAGGUCAUGAAUUCCGGCGUGCUCACAAGCGAUGUUAUAGAGGAGAAGGACAGCACGUACAGUAAGAGCAGCACUCUCACGCUUUCCACUGACCAGUGGUCAAAAUUCGAGCAGUACACGUGUGAGAUAAAACACGAAACGUCAGCGACGCCAUUCACGGCGGGAUUCAAGAAAUCAGAUUGCCCUGCGUAGAAGAGUGGAAGAGUUAUACAAGUUUAUUUCAUAAAGCCUCUCUCUUUUUUUUUCCCCUUCAUUAGCUAUUUAAAUAUUUCUAUGCGCUAUGUCAUCGAUCAUGUCCUAUGUCGUUUUACAAAUGAAUACCGGUUGGACUUGUGUAAUUGGUCGUGGUGAACAAUGUCACGGUUUUCUCAGCAAAGUUCUGUUUUGUAAGGCUUUGGAAUGUCAAGGAAAACCUUUUUAUUUUGGCUUUCAUCUUUUAUCUGAAAAUGAAUAAAAAAUAUUCUGCUUCA